AAUUAAUUUAAUAUAUUUUGAAAAUAUAGGUAAGAAAUUAAGUUUUCUAUUAAUUU
rnacentral:tRNA from 1 species